CCCUUCAAGAGGCUGAAGUGCAAGUUGAAAUGUAUAGAGUGAGCCUUUGAAUUCCCAUUCAGUUUUCCAGCUUGAAGGCAAAUCAGGUCUGAACAUAAAGAUGGUACUGAUUAUCACCAGCUUCUGCAUAGAACAACAGAGCAGUGCAAGGCUUAUUGUAUAUGACACAGACUACCAUGAGUAUUGACACCAUUUCAUUUAACUUCUCUCCAUUUAAGCUUCUUUUUGGAAGAUGUGAUGUGUAAAAUACGUAGUAC